rnacentral:rRNA from 1 species
UCAGCCCUACGGGGGGCAGCAGUGAGGAAUAUUGGUCAAUGGGCGGAAGCCUGAACCAGCCAAGUCGCGUGAGGGAAUAAGGCCCUACGGGUCGUAAACCUCUUUUGCCGGGGAGCAAGGGCCGGGACGAGUCCCGGUCCGGAGAGUACCCGGAGAAAAAGCAUCGGCUAACUCCGUGCGAGGAGCCGCGGCAAUACGGAGGAUGCGAGCGUUAUCCGGAUUUAUUGGGUUUAAAGGGUGCGGAGGCGG